GGUCCUAUAGCUCAGCUGGUUAGAGCACCUGACUCAUAAUCAGGGGGUCCCUGGUUCGAGCCCAGGUGGGACCACCA
rnacentral:tRNA from 1 species